GUGGCAGUUCAACUCCAUGCUAACCGAUCGUGUGAAGCUGUUGGACAAAUACUUAAUUAAAUGGGAUGUCGCAACUAGAAGACGAACAGCUUGUAAUGAUCUCCCUGCAGGUUAGUUGUUCAACAAACUAAGAACAAGAAAGCAAGUGAAGGUUUUUGGGUUUGUCCGCAAGGAGCUGUCCAGUACUGACAACUAAUUAAUCAGAGCACAAGGCUCCUAAAUGCGCAGAUGAUAUACGCGGGUUGGUCUGUAAUGAUAUUAGGGGGCGCCAAGAGAACAUUCCGAUUCCAGCAACCAAUAUGGUCGAUGACCCAUCUGUUGCUCCUACAGGUAAUAUCAAAUGCGCAUCCAUCUUUGCGUUCAGUGGCGG